UUCUGAUUCGUAUCAAACUGCUUCGUCCCGUUUUGAUACGAAUCAUUUUUUCCCUUCCUCCUCCAAUCUCGAUUCUUAUCUCGAUCUCCUUCUUAGAAUCAAGAUACCGACGUCCCUCUCCUCUCUCUCUCACCCUGAUUAAACCUUCAUAACCAGCAAUUUUGCAUUAGAUGUUAGUUCUGAUCUUAGUUAUGAUGCGAAGAGAGAAGAGCGUUCCCCGUCACUUCAAACCGAUGUGGUUUCCACCGUUUGAUAAUGAGGAUCCUCCAAUGGACUAUGAUGACAACUUGUUGGACGUGGAUCCUCUCGAGCCGAUUCAGUUGGAGCUAGACAAAGGUCGUGACGGCAUUCGAUGCGUUCUUGGCUUUAAAUGGUCACUGCUUAGAAUGGGAAUGAUGACCCUUGUUGAAUUCAGAUGCUAAAGGAUUUUCUUGAACUCCGUAGAUCAUGUAGGAGGAGGGAACCAGUGAAUCCCUGAUGCUACUGCUAAACAGUUCUUCCUUACUCUCACUUUGGUUUCGACACUACAAUAAAGCUUUAACAUUUUCUUGUCUUGGUCUGUGGUGGUAAAGUAAUAAAGCUUUAACAUGUUGUUGUCUUGGUAUGUGGUGGAAUGAUGUUGCAAACCCAACAUCUUUUGCUUUCUCGGUUGUUUUUUUGUGAAGAACAUUUGGUUUAACAAUGAAUAUAACUGAUGUAUCUUAGUGA